AAUCCAUAGGUUAAUGAGGCGAACCGGGGGAACUGAAACAUCUAAGUACCCCGAGGAAAAGAAAUCAACCGAGAUUCCCCCAGUAGCGGCGAGCGAACGGGGAGGAGCCCAGAGCCUGAAUCAGCAUGUGUGUUAGUGGAAGCGUCUGGAAAGGCGCGCGAUACAGGGUGACAGCCCCGUACACAAAAGCGCAUGUGCUGUGAGCUCGAUGAGUAGGGCGGGACACGUGGUAUCCUGUCUGAAUAUGGGGGGACCAUCCUCCAAGGCUAAAUACUCCUGACUGACCGAUAGUGAACCAGUACCGUGAGGGAAAGGCGAAAAGAACCCCGGCGAGGGGAGUGAAAAAGAACCUGAAACCGUGUACGUACAAGCAGUGGGAGCACCCUUUGGGUGUGACUGCGUACCUUUUGUAUAAUGGGUCAGCGACUUAUAUUCUGUAGCAAGGUUAACCGAAUAGGGGAGCCGGAGGGAAACCGAGUCUUAACCGGGCGUUAAGUUGCAGGGUAUAGACCCGAAACCCGGUGAUCUAGCCAUGGGCAGGUUGAAGGUUGGGUAACACUAACUGGAGGACCGAACCGACUAAUGUUGAAAAAUUAGCGGAUGACCUGUGGCUGGGGGUGAAAGGCCAAUCAAACCGGGAGAUAGCUGGUUCUCCCCGAAAGCUAUUUAGGUAGCGCCUCGUGAAUUCAUCUCCGGGGGUAGAGCACUGUUUCGGCUAGGGGGCCAUCCCGGCUUACCAACCCGAUGCAAACUGCGAAUACCGGAGAAUGUUAUCACGGGAGACACACGGCGGGUGCUAACGUCCGUCGUGAAGAGGGAAACAACCCAGACCGCCAGCUAAGGUCCCAAAGUCAUGGUUAAGUGGGAAACGAUGUGGGAAGGCCCAGACAGCCAGGAUGUUGGCUUAGAAGCAGCCAUCAUUUAAAGAAAGCGUAAUAGCUCACUGGUCGAGUCGGCCUGCGCGGAAGAUGUAACGGGGCUAAACCAUGCACCGAAGCUGCGGCAGCGACACUGUGUGUUGUUGGGUAGGGGAGCGUUCUGUAAGCCUGUGAAGGUGUGUCGUGAGGCAUGCUGGAGGUAUCAGAAGUGCGAA
rnacentral:rRNA from 1 species